rnacentral:rRNA from 1 species
CCUACGGGGGGCAGCAGUGGGGAAUAUUGGACAAUGGGCGAAAGCCUGAUCCAGCCAUGCCGCGUGUGUGAAGAAGGCCUUCGGGUUGUAAAGCACUUUCAGUGGGGAAGAAAGCCUUGGGGCUAAUACCCUCGAGGAAGGACAUCACCCACAGAAGAAGCACCGGCUAACUCCGUGCCAGCAGCCGCGGUAAUACGGAGGGUGCGAGCGUUAAUCGGAAUUACUGGGCGUAAAGCGCGCGUAGGCGGUCUGAUAAGCCGGUUGUGAAAGCCCCGGGCUCAACCUGGGAACGGCAUCCGGAACUGUCAGGCUAGAGUGCAGGAGAGGAAGGUAGAAUUCCCGGUGUAGCGGUGAAAUGCGUAGAGAUCGGGAGGAAUACCAGUGGCGAAGGCGGCCUUCUGGACUGACACUGACGCUGAGGUGCGAAAGCGUGGGUAGCAAACAGGAUUAGAUACCCUGUAGC